rnacentral:rRNA from 1 species
UACAGAGGCCCCAAGCGUUACUGAGAAUCACUGGGUUUAAAGGGUGCGUAGGUGGCGCGUUAAGUCCGUUGUGAAAUCCCUUGGCUCAACCAAGGAACUGCUUCGGAUACUGCCGUGCUUGAGGACUGGAGAGGAGACUGGAAUUUACGGUGUAGAGGUGAAAUGCGUAGAUAUCGUAAGGAAGACCAGUGGCGAAGGCGGGUCUCUGGACAGUUCCUGACGCUGAGGCACGAAGGCCAGGGGAGCAAACGGG